GCAGGUUUCUGUAUGCAAUCACCAAGCAGAAAAGAUAUCCGGAUGUUCUAUUAAGGGGUAAGCCAGCUACCAUACUGUGAAAACACUCAAGCAGCAUCACUGAAGGACCUGCAUGGAGAGAAAUUGAGGUCUCCACUCAACUAGCAAGUACCAUAUUCCCAGCCAUGCAUAUGAGUUACAUUGGAAGUGAAUCAGCAGCUCCCUUCCAGCCUUCAGAUGACUAUAGCAGCAGUUGACAUUAAACAACAAUCUCACAAGACACACCCAGCUGUCACAUAUAUGAGAUGGAGGCAAUAAUACCAAUCCUACCUCCUAUCAGGGUGAGUGAAUGGCUUAAGUGAGAGGGCAGAUGAUAAACUUCUGGGAGCAGCUCUGAUACAGAAGAGAAAGCAUGGAUCUAAGUAAUGGUACUCUUCCUAAAUUUGAGGUCUGAUUCCACUUUUUACAAGAGCUCUAAUUCAUUGUGAAUUUCAACGAGAGUUUUCUUGGCACAGAAAAGAAGCACCUGCUGAUUUUCUGCUUUAUCAAGAAACACCUGCUGCUUUAUCAAGAGUGAGUAGAGAUCUAGCCUUCCCACUGGACUUUGCCCUGUAAGUCCUUCUGGAGUGGUACAGAAAAGCUUCAGAAGCUUUUUCCAAGAGGAAUCUUGUGCGACUCUGGCUAUAAACAAUGCUCCUCUGGACCCAGGUACCAAUGGGAAACACACAGUAGGAGACAUAAUUUAUCUUCCCAUUUGUGCUCCAACACCCUGAGGAAGGACUGCACCUACAGUUUUGCAGUUAUAGCAGCCUGAGCAUUGUGCUAGAGAAAGACAUGUUCUUCCCAGAGCGACAGUGGUAGCUGGCCCAGCAGAGCACCAGUGGAGACAGCAAAGACACGGUGCAGCCUGGUAAAAGAACAUUGGCUUGAAGCAUGUCCAUCCUCAACACUGAGACAUAUUGAACCCGUAAGAAUGCUUAAGGAGAAAUUCUCAGGGACACCAGUUCCUACACUUAUGAUGGUGAGAGGUAAAGAAAAAUGUGAAAUUUGGGUGCAAAUGCUAAUAUUAGUGUAUCUGUGCCUUAGAGUGGUGGUCUUUGGGAUUCUUCAGGCUCUUUAUUUAGUAGCUUUAAUGCUAGCUUGAAUUUCCUACUCUUACUUUUUUGACCUCAUUUUUUUUACAUUAAAACAUUUAAUAUUGUGACAUUAUUAUACACUUUUUUCUUAAGCGAAAUUAAAUAUUUUCUUAGAAUAAGAUAGUACUAAAUAAAUGAUUAAGUGAUUGAUAUUUUACAGUAGAAGCUCAAAUGAGCAAUAAACAUGUAAUGCAAAAGAAGUUUGUGGUAGACCAAGUGAUAACCACCCAAAGAUGUCCACUUCCUGCUUGCCUGUAUCUAUGAAUAUGUUAUCUUACAUGGCAAAAGGGACCCUACAGAUGUGAUUAAGUUAAGGAUCAUAAAAUGGAAGAUUAUCCUGGAUUUAUUGGGUAGGACCAAUAUAAUCACAAUGGUGCUUAUAAGACAGAAGGUGGAAACAAAUGAGUCAUGGAAGGAGAUAUGACGAUGGAAGCAGAAAUCAGAGAAAUGCAGCCACUAGCCAAGAGAUGCAGGCAGGCCCUAGACAUUGGAAGAGGCAUUGAACAGAUUCUCUCCUAAUAGCCUCUAAAAAGAAUGCAACUCUGCAGAACCUCUGAUGAUUUUCGUGCUGUAAGAGCUAUUCUGAACUUCUGAUUUCCAGAACUGUUAAAACCUUAAAUGUACAUUAUUAUAUAAUAGUACAUUUGUGGAAAUUUGUUACAGCAUCAGCAGGAGUAUAGUACAAGACUUUAAUGAGAUACACUUUACUCCUAUCAAAUUGCUUUUUUUUCCCCCUAGGUAACACUAAAUGUUUAGUAAAGUUUAGUAAAAAUAGAACUAAUAUCCACCACUGAUAAAGUAUAAGCUGAAAUAUUUUCAGAAAGUAAGCAGCAUAGACAAAGGUCUAAAUCCUUAAAGUAAUUUUAAUACUUUGACCAGGUAACUAAAUUUCAGGAAUUUAAGAUGAGAAAAUAAUUAGAUAUGUGUAUAAAUACCUUUACACAGUGCUGUGCAUUCAAACAUUACAUAUGCUGAAACUAGAUUCACUUAAAUGGUUUGGAUAAACUUUACUGUAUCCAUGCAAAGAAAUAUAUUACACAGUUGUCAACUGCAUUAAAUGCCAAAGUAAAGAGUCAGACACCUAAGUUAUUGUAUAUUAUAGCUCUAAUGUUAUAAAAUAUAACUAUAAAUCAAUAUUUGUGAAAGAAAAAUAUUAAUAUGAAAUAUACUAAUAUAACUCAUUUUUGAAUGAGAUGUGUGAUGUGUCUUUUUGCCUUUACAUCGUCCUGAUAUUUUUUCAUUUUUUCAUGAAGGGUUAGUACAUUACUUCCAUAAUCAUAAAAAGUAAAUAUGAAAUGUAUAUUUAACAUGUUAUUAUGAGGAAACUCAAUAAAUAAAGCAUAUCAUCACUGUUAUGCUGGAAACGAAUGCUGUAAGCCCAGAAUCCUCACAGUAAGAUAGCAUCAUUCUGUUAACUGAUAGUUGGAAAGCUAUUGGCUGGUAUGUCUGUCAAUUCAAUUGUUAAUCUGUAUUCUGUAUAUUUUUUAAUAUUAAAAAUCAUUUUAAAAUGUAAACUCCAUUAUUGUUAUAAUUUUAAAAAUUAACUAAGGUGCCAGGAGUUGUGAAUCAUCACCACAGGGUUAACAAUAAGAAGUUAUAUGACUUUCAACUCUUUCCUUUAACCUUCUGGAAUACAAUUUUCUCACCUAAAAAACAAAGAUGUUUCAUUAGAUGAUUAGUCGAUUAAUUUAUGGUUUUCCAAUUGUGACUCUUGUAAGGAUCUAAAAUAUUUAUGCCGCACACCUCUUCUGAGAAGAAACUGUCGUUGCUCCAAUAUUCCUGCCUACAUCUAACAAUAUUCCCCGUAAAUUACUCUGUAAUCCUUUUUCACUCCUUACAUGCCUUCAUGUCUCUUCUAGUAGAUUAGAUAACGAUGUAUGUUCCACUCUGAGCAGGUAUAUUCAGACCUACCUAUAAAGGUCAAGGGAGCUGAGAGGCCAAAGAAAGGGACUGACAAAUCCAGUUUCUCAGAAAGAAACUGUCAGGCCUCUGAGCCCAAGCCAACCAUCCCAGC
rnacentral:lncRNA from 1 species